UAGAUGACCAGACACAGCUCAACUCAAGAC
rnacentral:piRNA from 1 species